rnacentral:lncRNA from 1 species
GGGGUAGCUCUCUCUAGGGUUUUCAAUGUGUCAUUUUCUUAUGUGUCGACCUCUUUCUUAUAACGGGAUGCUCUCGUGAUGCUCGCAACCGUUCCGCGAUCUCUGCAACCGUUCCGCGAUCUCCGGAUCUUCGAAGUCUCCAUCUGGAGCUCGAGUGUUCGCUGUGGGAUUUAACUCCUCGCGGUGCAUUUACUUGAUCGUGGCCCAUUAACAUAUUGACCAAAAUUGGGUCCAACAGAUACGAAGUCUAAUCAAAGAUCAA